rnacentral:rRNA from 1 species
CCUACGGGGGGCUGCAGUGAGGAAUAUUGGUCAAUGGGCGCAAGCCUGAACCAGCCAAGUAGCGUGCAGGAUGACUGCCCUACGGGUUGUAAACUUCUUUUAUACGGGGAUAAAGUGAGGCACGUGUGCCUUUUUGUAUGUACUUUAUGAAUAAGGAUCGGCUAACUCCGUGCCAGCAGCCGCGGUAAUACGGAGGAUCCGAGCGUUAUCCGGAUUUAUUGGGUUUAAAGGGAGCGUAGGUGGGUUGUUAAGUGAGGUGUGAAAGUGUGCGGCUCAACCGUAAAAUUGCAAUGGAUACUGGCAGUCGUGAGGACAGUGGAGGUAGGCGGAAUUCGUGGUGUAGCGGUGAAAUGCUUAGAUAUCACGAAGAACUCCGAUUGCGAAGGCAGCUUACGAAACUGCCACUGACAUUGAUGCUCGAAAGCGUGGGUAUCAAACAGGAUUAGAUACCCGGGUAGUC